rnacentral:rRNA from 1 species
UACCAGCACCCCGAGUGGUCGGCACGUUUAUUGGGCCUAAAGCAUCCGUAGCCGGUUCUACAAGUCUUCCGUUAAAUCCACCUGCUCAACAGAUGGGCUGCGGAAGAUACUAUGGAGCUAGGAGGCGGGAGAGGCAAGCGGUACUCGAUGGGUAGGGGUAAAAUCCGUUGAUCCAUUGAAGACCACCAGUGGCGAAGGCGGCGUCCUGGCCUGCGACUGACGCUGUGGCGCGAAAGCUAGGGGAGCGAACGGG